AAUGAACGCUGGCGGCGUGCCUAAUACAUGCAAGUCGAGCGGACUUGACAGAGCUUGCUCUGUUCAAGUUAGCGGCGGACGGGUGAGUAACACGUGGGCAACCUGCCCUGCAGAUUGGGAUAACUCCGGGAAACCGGGGCUAAUACCGAAUAACAUUGAAAACCUCAUGGUUUUCUUUUAAAAGGCGGCUUCGGCUGUCACUGCAGGAUGGGCCCGCGGCGCAUUAGCUAGUUGGUGAGGUAACGGCUCACCAAGGCAACGAUGCGUAGCCGACCUGAGAGGGUGAUCGGCCAAACUGGGACUGAGACACGGCCCAGACUCCUACGGGAGGCAGCAGUAGGGAAUCUUCCGCAAUGGACGAAAGUCUGACGGAGCAACGCCGCGUGAGUGAAGAAGGUUUUCGGAUCGUAAAACUCUGUUGUUAGGGAAGAACAAGUAUCGGAGUAACUGCCGGUACCUUGACGGUACCUGACCAGAAAGCCACGGCUAACUACGUGCCAGCCGCCGCUGUAAGAC
rnacentral:rRNA from 1 species